UGAAUGUUACUAAUAAGGAAAUAUUAUGUUCUGAAACAUAACAGUAAUGGGGUAUUAUUUAGUUGUUUUGCUAAUGUCUGUAUUUGUUUUGAUUGGUGCAUUUUAUGUAAACACUGUUGAGCAAAGAAUAGUCCAAAUAAAAGACGAUUUACUUAAACAUGAAAAAGAAGUAAAGGAAGUGAAAGAAGAAUUGGAGUCGACCAACAAGGCACUAACACAAGUGAAAGUAGAACUGGAAUCGACAAGAAAGGAGCUUACACAAGCGCAAGUAGAAUUGGAAUCGACGAAAAAGGAAGUUAAACAAGUGAAAGUAGAAUUGGAAUCGACGAGAAAAGAGCUUACAGAAGUGAAAGUAGAAUUGGAAUCGACGAGAGAGCAAAUUAAUAUACUUCGUAAAGGAAUGAUAGAAAAAGAUAAUACAUGCAGGAAAGAAAGAAAUCAAAUUAGAGUAGACGUAGGUGCGGUUCGUGAAGAACUAAAUAAGAUUAAAAAAGAACUUCACACACAAAGACCUGGGUUUUAUGUAACUCUGUCUUCCCAUACUACCUUAAGUCAGAUUCAAAGAAUACAGUUUGACCAGAUUAUAACUGAUGUUACAAAUGAUUAUAAUAUAACUGGAGUUUUUAUAGUUCCAAAGAACGGACUUUAUCAUUUUUCGUUGACAAUGAUCUCUACAGAAGACAAACUACAUGCCCAGAUUAUGCAGAAUCAUCGAGAGGUUGGCCGAAAUUAUGGAUAUUCCAUUGGUGUGUCAGGAACAAUUAACGUAGUGAUUUCUUGUAUGGAGGGAGAUUCAGUUUUUGUGCGUCACAUGUCAGGACAAGGUGCUGAAAAAAUUCAUGGGGGAGGAUAUUCUGCAUUUUCUGGAUUCUUAAUCAACUAGUAAAAAAGAAGAUGCAAGCAUGAGAGAGUGUACUGCAACGAACAGCAUCAUUUCCAAGGUGAUAUGGUUUUACUCUCUUAUGUUUUUCAUCAUUGUCUAGUUUAAAGAAUUAGCAAACUUACAAUGACAAGAGACCAAACUAUUAAGAGAUAAUUCGUUAUUAUCGGUCUCUUGGCGUUUGAGAAAAUUAACAAAUAAGACAAUUUUGGAAUAAAUCUUUAUAGAUCUGUUCACUAGACGAUGUUGCGUUAUAUAGUAAUGUUAAUCUACCGUCAAAUGACAGUACCAACAUGCGAAUGAAAAUUUGAUAGUCGAGACUGGGAAAUUUCAAUUUUCAAAAUGGAAAAGAAUAGCAAGCAAAUGAUUGUAGUAGAAAUGAAAUAAUGCACUUCUAUGUUUAUCCGUUUUUACCUGUGGACACUUAUCAUGCUUAUGAAGCCACCUGUUCACGUGCCGUUUCAAAGAAAUCACCUCGUUAGUUAAUCUCUUUUGUCAUAUCUUAAUUGUUUGUCAUUUAAAAAACAUAAGUGUUGAUUGCCAGUCUUUGUUGAAUUUAAUUCUUUUAUAGACUACUGGCAAUUUAAACAUACUGUCAAGAACAAAGAAUUUUACGUGUUUAGUUGCUGUCUCUGUGCCAUAUACUCCACACCACCUUUAUUCGUAUACUUUUAUUUUUAGUUUUAAAGAUAUCAAAAGUCAUUACAAUUAUUAAACAUCUAGAGUGUGCCUGUUCCAAAGUCAGGAACCUCGUGAAUGGUUUCCAGUAAUUAUAUCCUGUAAUGACCAUUUAGUAAAACCCCAGCUUUUUCUAGCGGGUUGGUACACCUGGGAAUACUUGCCAAGGGUGUCUGUGCAUGCGUUCAUCCUUUCUGUUUAACUUUUAAAUCUUCUGACAUUGAAACGUUUGACAGAAUGAGACUUCUACUUAAUCUCACCCUCAUAAUGUACUUUCGCACCUUCUGUUACUUCUGUCGAAUUAGCGUUGUCAUGACUUGGUCUAUGACACAUACACACAAAUUACAGUACAUAAUUAUACCCGUAUAUCCGUAUUAUCUCCUAAUUUUUCAGCAUAAAUUCUGAAAUAGACGUGAAAUAUGGUUUUGCUGCUUCUUCUCUAUGCACGCGAAAUUAAGGAGUAAAAGCAAAGACUGGUCUACCAGCAGUCCGAAUAUUGUUUCAAUUACAGCGACAUAUCUUCCUGAUGAAUUUUACCUUUCGAAUUAAAGUUUGGGUUAAAGUUUGAGUUAUAAUUUAUAUCCGAGUUAUAAAUCGAGAUCGAGUCAAAGGUCGAGUCAAACCAGAAAUGACCAGACAUAAGAGGGUGUCCCAACGGAAUUCCAAGUAUUAUUUGUAAACAAAUAUCUUAACACCAUUCUAACAGUACUAGUUGUGUACACAUUGUAUUUUCAAUAAUUUGUGAUGUAUAUACGAGACUUCGUUUAAUCUUUUAAAAGGUCAAUAGUCUGUUUAUAGCAUCUUCGCUAGCCAAGUGUUACGAUCCAGUCCUCUCCUCUCCACCCUUGGCGGAUUACGAUAGAAUUUCGGAGACACGAGGUAUUGAUUUCUAUUGGUCGCAGUUGUAACUGGCUGCAUCCAAUCAAAACGUACCUUUAAGAUGAUCACGUGUAAAUGUAAAAAAUGUAAAUAAACAUUUGCCACGUGCUGAUUGUGCAACAAGUCUUUACCCAAAAAAACGAUAUUUGGUGACAAUUUGAAAGUUUUUAAUUAACUUAUUGAAGUGCCUGGGUAUGUUUCUCGCGCAAAUGUUGGGAUGUCAACAUACAUUUUUUUUCAGGUCCUGCUUCACGAAAUUUGUGAACACUAGCCACAACCAUUUUUACACCUCUACACAGAAGAGAGUUCAAGUGCUGCCCCAUUGGUCAAGAAUGAUGAUGUCGGAAUGGGCGUAACUUUUAUCUUCCGGUAGUUGGUGCAGCAUUGUAAUCACAAAUGUUGGCUUAAUCAGCCAAGGGUGGAGAGAAGUGGACUGGAUCGUAAUCCUUGGCUAGCGAAGAUGGUUCAUAGAAAAAAAUUAGAAUUUAAUCGUUUAUUCUUUGUUCUACCACAUGCAUGAUAGUCUACCUGGAAACCGGACGACAUCCAUUGAAAAUAAGCGUUAAUGGUAUGAUGAGAACAUAUUGGUGCAGAUUGCAUGUAGAUGAAAACAAGUUAUCACCCAUUUUAUAUAUCAAUUUGUAUAUCUUCAGUAGUAUACAAACAACGAUAAUAUUGUACAUAUAAAUUACAUUAAAACCAUAUUAAGCAAUGCUGAAUCCCAAAACCUAUUUUAUGUGCAAAAUACCGACUUUACAAAAUAGUUAUCAAAAAGAAUUAAACUUCGAUUGAUUGUUUAAUUUUUAAAAAUUUGAAAUUCGUCUAUCUAGAACACUUCUUAAUGCAUUACGCAUAGACUUUGCAAUUGAAAAUUCGGAAUUUGAUAUUAGAUAUAUUAAUAGAUAUCAUUUAUACACUUUGUAAAUUCCAAACCUUGAAUCAUGCACUGCUUAUAGAAACGAGGAGACGGCAUACUAUUGACAGAAAAGAAAUAAAGUGUUCUAUAUGCAAUAAUCACGGGUAGUAACGUCGUCAUAUCACUGAGCGUUUAGUACAGUGAUUUUGUUAUAGUUUGGUUAAGUUGGAAAUGAUUGUGAUAAGUGUUUUUAUGACAAACAAUGACACAAUAUAAAAAUUCUGAUAUUUUGCUAAAGGAACUUCUGGACAUAAUUUUAAGCUGGUAAAUAUCUUUGUUUAUGGCUAAUAUGUUAGUACAUUAAAAUGUGUAUCCUAUA